rnacentral:rRNA from 1 species
GGGUUGUGAGGUUAAGCGACUAAGCGUACACGGUGGAUGCCCUGGCAGUCAGAGGCGAUGAAGGACGUGCUAAUCUGCGAUAAGCGUCGGUAAGGUGAUAUGAACCGUUAUAACCGGCGAUUUCCGAAUGGGGAAACCCAGUGUGAUUCGUCACACUAUCAUUAACUGAAUCCAUAGGUUAAUGAGGCGAACCGGGGGAACUGAAACAUCUAAGUACCCCGAGGAAAAGAAAUCAACCGAGAUUCCCCCAGUAGCGGCGAGCGAACGGGGAGCAGCCCAGAGCCUGAAUCAGUGUGUGUGUUAGUGGAAGCGUC